GACGAACGCUGGCGGCGUGCCUAAUACAUGCAAGUUGAGCGCUGAAGGUUGGUACUUGUACCAACUGGAUGAGCAGCGAACGGGUGAGUAACGCGUGGGGAAUCUGCCUUUGAGCGGGGGACAACAUUUGGAAACGAAUGCUAAUACCGCAUAAAGACUUUAAACACAAGUUUUAAGUUUGAAAGAUGCAAUUGCAUCACUCAAAGAUGAUCCCGCGUUGUAUUAGCUAGUUGGUGAGGUAAAGGCUCACCAAGGCGAUGAUACAUAGCCGACCUGAGAGGGUGAUCGGCCACAUUGGGACUGAGACACGGCCCAAACUCCUACGGGAGGCAGCAGUAGGGAAUCUUCGGCAAUGGACGAGAGUCUGACCGAGCAACGCCGCGUGAGUGAAGAAGGUUUUCGGAUCGUAAAACUCUGUUGGUAGAGAAGAACGUUGGUGAGAGUGGAAAGCUCAUCAAGUGACGGUAACUACCCAGAAAGGGACGGCUAACUACGUG
rnacentral:rRNA from 1 species